rnacentral:rRNA from 1 species
UACAGAGGUCUCAAGCGUUGUUCGGAUUCAUUGGGCGUAAAGGGUGCGUAGGCGGCGCGGUAAGUCGGGUGUGAAAUCUCGGAGCUUAACUCCGAAACUGCAUUCGAUACUGCGGUGCUUGAGGACUGGAGAGGAGACUGGAAUUCAUGGUGUAGCAGUGAAAUGCGUAGAGAUCAUGAGGAGACCAGUGGCGAAGGCGG